rnacentral:rRNA from 1 species
UACAGAGGGGGCGAGCGUUGUUCGGAAUUACUGGGCGGAAAGGGCGCGUAGGCGGCCCGCUAAGUCGAACGUGAAAUCCCCAGGCUUAACCUGGGAACUGCAUUCGAGACUGCAUUGCUAGAGUAUGGGAGAGGGAAGUGGAAUUUCCGGUGUAGCGGUGAAAUGCGUAGAUAUCGGAAGGAACAUCAGUGGCGAAAGCGACUUCCUGGACCAAUACUGACGCUCAUGUGCGAAAGCGUGGGGAGCAAACAGG